rnacentral:misc_RNA from 1 species
GAUGAAGAACGUAGCGAAAUGCGAUAAGUAAUGUGAAUUGCAGAAUUCAGUGAAUCAUCGAAUCUUUGAACGCACAUUGCGCCCUGUGGUAUUCCGCAGGGCAUGCCUGUUCGAGCGUCAUUUCAACCCUCAAGCCCCGCUUGGUGUUGGGCCCCGCCCGCUGUGGCCGGCCCUAAAGACAGUGGCGGCGCCGCCUGGCCAUCAGCGUAGUACAUCUCUCGCUCCAGGGUCCGGUGGCCGCCUGCCAGAACCCCCCAACUCUGUGGUUGACCUCGGAUCAGGUAGGGAUACCCGCUGAACUUAAGCAUAUCAAUAAGCGGGGA